rnacentral:rRNA from 1 species
CCAAUAGCGUAUAUUAAAGUUGUUGCAGUUAAAAAGCUCGUAGUUGAAUUUCGGGAUCAAUAUUUCGGUCAUGCCGUUGGUAUGCACUGUUAUCAUUGAUUUCUCACCUUCUAAAGAACCGUAAUGCCAUUAAUUUGGUGUUACGGGGAAUUAGGACUGUUACCUUGAAAAAAUUAGAGUGUUUAAAGCAGGCUCACGCUUGAAUACAUUAGCAUGGAAUAAUGAAUUAGGACAUCCGAUUCUAUUUUGUUGGUUUCUAGGACCGGUGUAAUGAUUAAUAGGGAUAGUUGGGGGCAUUAGUAUUCAAUUGUCAGAGGUGAAAUUCUUGGAUUUAUUGAAGACUAACUACUGCGAAAGCAUUUGCCAAGGAUGUUUUCAUUAAUCAAGAACGAAAGUUAGGGGAUCGAAGACGAUCAGAUACCGUCGUAGUCUUAACCAUAAACUAUGCCGACUAGGGAUCGGAUGAUGUUAAUUUUUUAAUGACUCAUUCGGUGCCUUACG